rnacentral:rRNA from 1 species
CUAAAUUCUAUUUUACUACUGUAUCUCUGAAUGCUUCAACUUAAUAAGUUAAAACUUUCAACAACGGAUCUCUUGGUUCUGGCAUCGAUGAAGAACGCAGCGAAAUGCGAUAAGUAAUGUGAAUUGCAGAAUUCAGUGAAUCAUCGAAUCUUUGAACGCACAUUGCGCCCAUUAGUAUUCUAGUGGGCAUGCCUAUUCGAGCGUCAUUUCAACCCUUAAGCCUAGUUGCUUAGUGUUGGGAAUCUGCCCUGUAUUUAUAGGGCAGUUCCUUAAAGUGAUCGGCGGAGUUAGGGCAUACUCUAAGCGUAGUAAUAUUCUUCUCGCUUCUGUAGUUGUCCUGGCGGCUUGCCGUUAAACCCCUAUAUUUCUAGUGGUUGACCUCGGAUUAGGUAGGAAUACCCGCUGAACUUAAGCAUAUCAAUAAGCGGAGGAAAAGAAACCAACAGGGAUUGCCCUAGUAACGGCGAGUGAAGCGGCAACAGCUCAAAUUUGAAAUCUGGCCCUAGCGGUCCGAGUUGUAAUUUGUAGAGGAUGCUUUUGGUUAGGUGCCUUCUGAGUUCCCUGGAACGGGA